rnacentral:rRNA from 1 species
AACGAACGCUGGCGGCGUGGAUAAGACAUGCAAGUCGAACGGGAACUAUGAAUAGCUUGCUAAUUGUAGUUCUAGUGGCGGACGGGUGCGUAACACGUGAGCAACCUACCCUAAAGUGGGGGAUAGCCUUCCGAAAGGAAGAUUAAUACCGCAUGUGAUCCUCGGAUCAAAGAUGGCUUCGGCUGUCGCUUUGGGAUGGGCUCGCGGCCUAUCAGUUUGUUGGUGAGGUAACGGCUCACCAAGACUACGACGGGUAGCUGGUCUGAGAGGACGAUCAGCCUCACUGGAACUGAGACACGGUCCAGACACCUACGGGUGGCAGCAGUCGAGAAUCAUUCACAAUGGACGAAAGUCUGAUGAUGCAACGCCGCGUGGAGGAUGAAGGCCCUAGGGUCGUAAACUCCUGU